rnacentral:rRNA from 1 species
UACGUAGGGUGCAAGCGUUAUCCGGAAUUAUUGGGCGUAAAGAGCUCGUAGGCGGUUUGUCGCGUCUGCUGUGAAAACUGGGGGCUCAACCCCCAGCCUGCAGUGGGUACGGGCAGACUAGAGUGCGGUAGGGGAGAUUGGAAUUCCUGGUGUAGCGGUGGAAUGCGCAGAUAUCAGGAAGAACACCGAUGGCGAAGGCAGAUCUCUGGGCCGUAACUGACGCUGAGGAGCGAAAGCAUGGGGAGCGAACAGG